CCAGGACAGAGGGGCAGUAGUGGUCAGGCGAGCAGACGACGCGCAGCCAGCCAGAUAGCUGGGUGUAAGUGAACCACGGAGCGCGGGAGGCGGCCAGUUGCGGUGCUCUACAAGAGCUAAGGUGUUUCAAUGGUCACUCGCAGCCCAGGAGCGGCCCCGGCGGGCAAAUGUUAGCCGGAUAGUGAUGGGAGUGCUGCACUGUGAGCUAAAGCGAACAAAGUGUUGCCAACUUAGUAUAAUGGAAAGAAAGGUGCUGCGAGAGUGAGACAAGCAAGUGGGAAAGGCGCAAGUCGCCUCUAGACAUCUGCACAGGCGCAGCGCCGCUGAAGACUGCCAGGGUGGCGGGCGCGCCCAGGUGGUGCAGGGCGUGAUGGGCGGCAAAUAAGACCACGAGGCACCACUGACGCCCCUCAUGACCCGAAGCAGGUGGGGGGCGGCCCGCCUGGCCACAUUGCUGCUGCUGGCCAUGGUGGGCGUCGCUGGAGAGGCCAUGCCCGCACCCCCUGUUCCCCCUACCAAUCACACCGUUGAGGAGGACUACGAGUACUACUAUGACUAUGACUAUUACUAUGAUGAGGAUGGAUCCAAGAAGCUAAAUAUGAGCGAAUUUCGCCUGCCGAAGGAGCAGAGGCGGAUUGGCAAGCCUUAUGUGCCCCGCUACAUGCUGGAGCUGUACGCCGAGCAGAGCCUUAGCAGGAAGACGCCACUACCCGGCGCCGACCUUGUCAGGAGCUUCACCGCCGUCAGCACAGAGAGCCAUGCCGGUGACCCAGACGUGGAGGGCAGGACAGCGAGGAAGCACACGCUGGGCUUCAACGUGACGGCACCACGGGCUGAGACAGUCAUCAACGCCACGCUGCGUCUCUACACCAUCAUCACUCGUGACCAGUACGCCUAUAUAGGCGUGGAGCGUCGCGUGCGGGUGGAAAUGACUCUGCCCCGCGACGAGGCGGAGGACCUGAUGACCGUGAAAGUGUGUGAAAGAGACAUUUAUGAGCUGCAUAAUGCUUGGGAAACUUUCGACGUGACCUUCGCUGUGAGGCACUGGCUGGCGCACCCUUCCUGUCCCCAGCUCCUGCAGAUCUAUAUUGAAUCAGUGUUCUCAACUGUUGGAAGCGGCGGUGAAAUGGACGUGGCCACCAUGCCCCUGACAGACAGCGAGCCGCUCCUCCUCCUCUAUUCCUCCGUCAGGCACCGCAGACAGUCGCGCCAUGAACUCAGCGUCAUGAUUUCACAUGAAAAUGACAUUCAAGAGAAAAUUCGGAGCAAGAGAAAGAAGCGGUCAUUAGAAAAGUUGCAGAAGAUUCGAGUGCGAAGAAACGCAGCAGAGAUUCAAGAGGAGGAGAGUAACAUGAUCUGGGAGGGGGAGCUGCUAGUACCAGGCUUGCCCCAGCAUGCCCAGAACUCACUGGGAGGUAAGAUCGAGGAAAGGGACGCCGUGGGCGCAGAAGAAGAGCUAAAAACGGGUGUAAGACAAAGCCACUGCGGGUAGACUUCAAAGACAUUGGGUGGGAUGACUGGAUCAUUGCACCAGUCUCCUAUGAGGCGAAUCAGUGCACCGGCAAGUGUUUCUACCCGCUAGCGUCUCACCUGAGCCCAACCAAGCAUGCUGUGGUGCAGACGCUGAUGAACUCAGUGCAUCCGGAACGCAGCCCCCGCGCCUGCUGUGUCCCCACCAGGCUGGGCCCCAUCCCCCUCCUCUACUUUGAGAACAAUCAAACUCCCACCUACAAAUCCGAGUAUGAUGAUAUGGUGGUGCUGGAGUGUGGAUGCAGAUAGUGGAGCGAGCCCAGCAUAUCCCAGAUAGGUAGCUGGGAAAGCCGAGUGAAAAAAUAUACUCAAAAACUUUCCUCAAGACAUUUUGUAAUGUCAUUUGAAAGUGUACAGUAUUUAAUCAUACUCAAGACUUGUCACAUAGUAAAUAAAUGAAAAGCAAACAUUAUGCUUCAUUAUUUAUGUAAAUACUCGAGAAAUAUGAUGAAGUGGUCAGAUCAUAAAGAAAAUAAAUAUUAAGUGCAUUUUCGUAACAAAAUUAUUUGGUACUUAAAUGUGGCCUGAAACAAACCUUUGUCAUGAAGCUCCUAUCAUCACGAAUGCUAAGUUGACUACAACCAAGAAAAAGUUGACUACAACCAAGGAAAAGCUGACUGCAACCAAGAAGUUUAAUAUGUGUAAUGUUGUAUAUGUAUCCACUUUGCUGACAGCACACGAUUGCAGAAAUCACUAAAGAUCAAUUAUUGAGUUAUGGCACAGCAACAAUUAGUUCAUGGCAUCAACCAGGGUUAUGAGAGAGAGAGAGAGAGAGAGAGAGAGCCUGUUUCUCCCACCGAGAAACUGCCUUGAAUAAGGACUGAACUCACAACCCUUGGGUCAUGAGCCAAGCACCAUGCCACAGAGCCACUUGGCCCAAGAUAAAUUGUAAUGUAAUUUGUAAUGAGUGAUACACUGCUAAACUAACUGUACAGUAACUUAAGCAUAAAGCAAUGUACAAAUAUAUGUAACACAUGGUGGAGGUGAUGGUAUGGGGAUACCAUGAAGAGGUGGAGCAGGAUGGACUGUGGGGUCAGUGAUGAUGGUGUGAAGGUGUUGGAAGGGUGUGUUGCUGGUGGCAGUAAUGAAGAAUGGAAUGCAGUGGUGAUGCAAUAUGGUAAAUGGCAGAGGUGACAUGUGCUGUGUGGCACCAGUAGAGUUAUGAUGUGUGCAGUGUUACAGAAAACAGUACCAUAGAAAUGGAACAUGCAGUGCAUGUCAAAUAAAUUAUAUAUGUAAGUGAUGGGAAAAUGUGACAGAUGAAAGGAAUAGAUUAAGAAAAUCAACAUAUCUAUAUAUAGCACUACUUACACCUGAGGUGACGCACUCAUGGCCAAUAGCCGAGUAACAUGACACACUCACUUCCUUGUGUUAAUCAUUAUCCCUCAAUAUUAAGUUUGAUCUGGUGAAAAUCUAUCAUUUGUUAGGUUUUGCAAAGUGAUUGUCAAGAGAUCAGAGGACCCACAAUACUGGGGGAUAACGCAAAACAUAUGAGUUAAAGUGAUUGAGACGUGUUAAGUGACUUCUGACCAUGACUGUCCAUCAAGGAAGAUAUGCUUGAAUAACCAAGGAACGUAUUACUAUGCUCGUGGCACGGAUAUUGAUUUUGUGGUUAGUGUUGCUAUUUUCAUUCUGAGUUUGAUCAAAUAUUUGGACUUGAACACAGUACUAUAAUUGAGUCAUUUUAAUUUUUUCAGGUGUAUAAUACCUAUUCCUGUCCAUCUGAAUAAACUGCAGUGGUCAUAGAUAAUUUUCCAAAAUAUCAUCACAGUUAUGUUACUUAACUAAUACCAGGGAACAAAUGUAUUGAUUUUUCUUAAACCUUUAUGAGAUUGCUAAUAUGCAGGUCCAUCACCAGCCCUGUUUAGUCAUAAGAAAGCAGGCCUUCCUAUGUGAACUAAUAAAAUCAGUGUGCGUGGCUGUCUAAUACUGCAGUGUUUAUUUUCUUUAAGUGGUUGUCAGUAUAACUUGCAAGAUACAGCUUCUGGCAUCAUUCUGAGUCAAAUCUAUGUCCAUCAGUUAUCAUUGUUAGUAUCACAUACUGUUUAUCAAUGAAAAUUUUAUAAUCAUUGUUGAUAUACAAUACAGUAUUAGUGUUCGUGUUUCCCCACAUACCAACCAUCAGCUGUACCACUUGUGGCUUUAGUGGGUAAUGUACAUAAUAUGUGAGCUGCUAAAAUAUUAAAGAUCUUCUUGUAA